UACGUAGGGGGCAAGCGUUGUCCGGAAUCAUUGGGCGUAAAGCGCGUGUAGGCGGCUCGGUAAGUCUGCUGUGAAAGUCCAGGGCUCAACCCUGGGAUGCCGGUGGAUACUGUCGAGCUCGAGUCCGGAAGAGGCGAGUGGAAUUCCUGGUGUAGCGGUGAAAUGCGCAGAUAUCAGGAGGAACACCAAUGGCGAAGGCAGCUCGCUGGGACGUGACUGACGCUGAGACGCGAAAGCGUGGGGAGCAAACAGGAU
rnacentral:rRNA from 1 species